GGAAGGAUCAUUCACUAUUAAAUUGCAUUUAAAAUGCCUGCGUUAUUUACUGCAGAGUGUACUGAACUAAGUUUGUGUUGUGACGAUUGCUUUGAUGAUUCCCUCCUCGAUAACAUACUUUUUUGGGAGUUUUUUGGGACGUUGUUGAACGAGGAACGUUAAAGUGGUUGUCUGCACAGAUGAUGCUUGGUACAGCGAGCAUUGGACAAUCCCAUUUCAUAAACGCUUUUUGGGAAAUGGGACGCUUUUUGGAGGUUCCAAUGAGGGCUUUUUUCGUUCUCGCAGCUCUGAACCCAACCCAUAUAUUUAAAAAAUUGAUGUUUGUUGAGUUUAUAUAAGACAAAAAGUAUUGGCAAUGGAUCCCUCGGUUCUCGCUUCGAUGAAGAACGCAGCGAAACGCGAUAAGUAUUGCGAAUUGCAGAAUUCAGUGAAUCAUCGAAAUUUCGAACGCAAACGGCGCUGAUUGGUUACUCCUUUCAGCACACAUUAUUCAGUGUCACAUCCUCUCAGAACUGAACCACUUCUAACAGGGGGUCAAUCAAUGCUUUGAAUCUAGACACGUUUUGGAAAUCCAUGCACGAAGAGUUUCUUUUUUGGGCAUACGGUUUUUGGAGUAUGCAGCUCUUCUUGUUUGAGAUUAUAUCAUUCAUGUAAUUCGAACACUACGUUUUUGGGUUGUGUUCCAAUUGCAUGUCUUACUUUUCGAGAUUGCAAGUGCAUUGAUUGAUGUCUGUAUGAGGCUGCAAAGUUUCUAAAUUGAGAGACCUGAAAGUCAUUCAUUCCUAAUGGUCAGAGGACUUCUUUUUGUGAUCCUCACUUUUUGGAGAUUAUUAAGGAUUGAAUGUAAAGCUUUUGGGCCUCUUUAAAUGUGUGAGACUUCUUUCGUUGCUAUCUAGUGUUAAGCAAUAAUGUUUUUUGGAGCUUUUUUGGUAUUUGUAAAACACUUUGUUACGCAAUGAAAGGUUCAAAGCUCACAAACUGCUUUGUGCUUUCAUCGUACUGCAAAGCAAUUAAACAAUCGACCUGAAUAAUGUGAGACUACCCGCUGAACUUAAGCAUAUCAGUAAGCGGAGGAAAAGAAAUUAACAAAGAUUCCCUUAGUAACUGCGAGUGAACUGGGAAGAGCUCAUCCCGAGAAUCCCUUUAAUGGGAGUUGUGGGGUUGGAAAGUAAGGUCAGCGUGCGACCCUGGAUUAAGUGUGUUGGAAAACAACGGCAUCGAGGGUGAUACCCCCGUGUUAGUCUGGGAGCUCGCCGCGUACGAUCCGCUUUUCUAGAGUCGGCUUGCUUGGUAAUGCAGGCUUAAUUAGGUGGUAAAUUCCAUCUAAAGCUAAAUAUAAGCGAGAAACCGAUAGUUCACAAGUACCGUGAGGGAAAGGUGAAAAGCACUUUGAAAAGAGAGUCAAAAGUACGUGAAAUUGUCAAUAUAUAAGGGAUUAGAACCAGUAUAAGGCUCUCUGCCUGAACUUGCAGGAUCGGAUCUCGUCCUUUCUAUGAUUUUGAAUGGAAUUAGAAAGAUGGCGAGUGAAGUUCUUGUGUAUUCUUGCAACUGCAGCCAGUAGUCAAAAUGGAUUUGGCGGGUGAAAUCUUUGCAUCUGUAGGUAGAGUUGCUUGCAGCUCGAUGAAAUGAUGUCAAAGGUCACAAGCCGAAUCAAGGUACUCGAUUUUGACGAAAUGGUUCUAAUCCUCCCGUCUUGAAACACGGACCGAGGAGUGUAACGUAUAGGCAAGUCGUAGGGUUUUAAACCUGAAGGCGAAAUGAAAGUGAAGUGAAGUUUACUUUAUCAGGUGUGCCACCGAAAGGUCUCAACACCGCCCGGCCUCUAAGAUAUAGAGGUACGAGGUCGAGCCUAUACGUUACGACCCGAAAGAUGGUGAACUAUACCUGAGCAGGGUGAAGCCAGGGGAAACUCUGGUGGAAGCUCGCAGCGAUACUGACGUGCAAAUCGUUCGUCAGACUUGGGUAUAGGGGCGAAAGACUAAUCGAACCAUCUAGUAGCUGGUUCCCUC
rnacentral:misc_RNA from 1 species